UCCUUGGUAGUCUAGUGGUUAAGAUUCAGCGCUCUCACCUCUGUUGUCUGGGAUCAAUUUCCAGUUAAAGAA